GAUGAGUUCCACAAGCUUUGCUGGUAAAUUCAAUCCCAAAUUGGUUUGUUAUGCUGGAAUGGUAGGAUCAGAAUCUUGGAUUAUUGAUACUGGAGCUUCAGAUUAUAUGACACCAAAUCCACAUUUGUUACAUAACCUUGCUUUCACUCACACACCAAUAUCCAUUUGUUUACCUAAUGGCCAAGUUACUGAAAUUAACCAAACAGGCACUGUUUACUUGCAUAAUAACCUUUCUCUAUACAGUGUGCUCUUAGUUCCUUCAUAAAUUGAAUUUACUUUUGGUUACCAAGCUUCUUAAAACCACAAAUUUACCCUUACUGUUUUACCCUUUCUGUUGGCUAUUUCAGGACCAGAAGACUAAAGCAGUGGUAGCCAUUGGGAAAGAGCAUGAAGGACUUUACAUUCUGGAUAAGUCUAGUUUUCUUUCAUCCACCAUUUAGUUUUAUCUUUCUAAAGUGAAACAUUUGCUUGAUACCCUUGCUUUGAACUCUGUAAAUACCAGCUUCUCUAAUGUGAAUAUUUAUAAAGAGAAUUUUCAGUUGUCCAAUUCUGCUCAAACUUUAGACUUUGCUAUACUUAGUGCUAGAUUAGGACAUUCAUCACUUCAGAAAUUACAAAACAUUACUCCCUUCAAACUUCACAUUGAUUGUCAUUAUAAAUGUCCUUUAUGUCCUUUAGCUAAACAAGCCAGAAUUCCUUUUCCUGAUAGUGAGAUAAAAACACAAUACCCUUUGGAAUUGUUACAUGUUGACCUAUGGGGCCCUUAUGCCACACCUUGUAUUUCUGGAGAUAGAUACUUUGUGACUAUUGUAGAUGACAAGUUAAGAGCCACUUCGACUUACAUGAUUAAACAUAAAGACCAAUGUAGCUAUGUUCUUACUAUGUUUCUCAAUUAUGUGGAAACCCAAUUCAAUGUCAAAGUGAGAAUAGUAAGGACAGAUAAUGGGAUGAAGUUUGUGAAUCAUCAAUGUUUACAAUUGUUUCAGUCUAGGGGGAUUAUUCAUCAAAAAAGUUGUCCAUAUACCCCUAAACAGAAUGGCAUAGUUGAGCGAAAACAUAGACAUCUCUUGGAUAUUGCUAGAGCUUUGAGAUUGCAAGCCCAUUUUACCAAAAAGAUUCUGGUCUGAGUGUAUUUUAACUGCUACAUACCUUAUUAACAGAUUGCGCACCAAAUUACUUUCUUGGAAAACUCCUUAUGAAUUGUUAUUUCACAAACCACCCACUUAUGACCAUUUAAGAGUGUUUGGUUGCCUCCAUUUUUGCUGUUAACCUUCACCUACAUAGAGACAAGUUUGAUGAUAGAUCACAUAAGUGUCUGUUUCUUGGGUAUCCACCUACACAAAAGGGCUAUAAAGUCAUGGAUUUGCAAACCAAUAAAGUGUUUGUAAGCAGGGAUGUAAUUUUCUUUGACACAAGUUUUCCUUUCAAUAAUACAACAUUAUCUUCUGUUGAGUCUUCCACACCAAUUCUUCCUUUUCCUAUUUCUUCACCUACAUCACACCAUACUGACACUCUCCUCUCUACUCUAGUUCCUGAACUUCAUUCUUGUGAAUCUUUCGACACCAAUAACUGAACCUUCUCAACCUACAUCAUUAACACCCCAAUUGUCUCUUUCUCUUGCUUCAGUCCUACCACCAUUAAGAAGAAGUACUAGACUUCAUCAGCAACCUUCAUGGUUGAAAGAUUUUGUUGUUGCCUCUCUCUCAUGCUACUGCCUCUGCGGCAGUCUUCUAUUCCUCACCAGGUACACCUUCUUUUAUUUUCUCACCUAGCCAUUAUGCCUUUGUUACUUCAGUAUCUAACAUUCAAGAACCUGUUAAUUAUCUUCAAGCAAUAACUGACAGCAAUUGGAUUGACGCUAUGAAUCAAGAAUUGUAGGCUUUGGAGAAAAAUGAUAUUUGGGAACUUUGUGAGUUACCUAAAAGGAAGAAGGCUAUUGGUUCAAAGUGGGUUUUUAAAGUCAAAUACAAACCAGAUGGAGAGGUUGAUAGAUAUAAGGCACGCUUAGUUGCUAAAGGGUACAAUCAGAUAGAGGGACUUGAUUUUAAGGAGCGAUUUAGUCCUGUGGCCAACAUAGUCACUGUUAGAAUUUUUAUUGCCCUCGCAACUGUUCAGAAAUGGCCUAUAUAUCAGUUAGACAUUAAUAAUGCUUUUUUGCAUGGUUACUUGGAUGAGGAAGUGUAUAUGAGGCCACCAGAUGGGUACACCAAGGCAUUACCAGGGCGGGUCUGUUUGCUGAAACUGUCCCUUUAUGGUUUAAAACGUGCUUCCUGACAAUGGAACCUUGAGUUUACUUCCUUUUUGCAUUCUUUGGGUUUUCAACAAUCAGUACAUGAUCAUUGUCUCUUUAGCCGAACAGAUUCAGAUGCUUUUCUAGCUCUUUUAAUCUAUGUAGAUGAUGUCAUCAUAACUGGAAACAAUUCACAGGCCAUUGACAAAGUCAAAUCUGCCCUGCAUGAUAAAUUCACUGUCAAAGAACUUGGUUUCAUGAAAUAUUUCCUUGGUUUGG
rnacentral:misc_RNA from 1 species